rnacentral:rRNA from 1 species
AUGAACGCUAGCGACAGGCUAACACAUGCAAGUCGAGGGGUAACAGGGUAGCAAUACCGCUGACGACCGGCGCACGGGUGAGUAACGCGUAUGCAACCUGCCUAUAACUGGGGAAUAGCUCCCUGAAAGGGGAAUUAACACCGCAUAACACUAUUGAUUCGCAUGGAUUAGUAGUUAAAUGUAGCGAUACAGGUUAUAGAUGGGCAUGCGUGACAUUAGCUAGUUGGUGAGGUAACGGCUCACCAAGGCUACGAUGUCUAGGGGUUCUGAGAGGAGGGUCCCCCCACACUGGUACUGAGACACGGACCAGACUCCUACGGGAGGCAGCAGUGAGGAAUAUUGGUCAAUGGGCGCAAGCCUGAACCAGCCAUGUCGCGUGCAGGAAGAACCUGCCCUAUGGGUUGUAAACUGCUUUUAUAGUAGAAGAAACACAUCUACGUGUAGAUGUCUGCCAGUAUACUAUGAAUAAGCAUCGGCUAACUCCGUGCCAGCCGCCGC